AGGGUCACAACGAUGCCAUGACCUCAGCGCGUUGUAGUGCCGGUAUGUUUCCCGUCCCGGUAAUCUUGCAGCGCAGAUUGAAGCCUGCCGAGGUCGCCCGUUGUCCAGCAUCUCAUCCGUCCAGAUAUGCCGGAACCAACGUUGUCCACGGAGGUCGACCCACCAUCACGAUGCUUGACGACGAUGCAUACAGAGCUCAACUACAAGUAGCCGGCCAACCAUGUCUCUUUCACCAAAUCUCCCUAUCUACCUUUUUUCUUUUGUUUUCCACUAAGCCCCAGUUCUUCUGCAGGAGCAGCGAACCAUGGAGGAUUUCAGGCUACUUUGGCAUAAACCAGCAAGCCAUGUUGAACUGACAUGUAUUUUGAGAAAGGAGUGGUCUGCUAUUCUGCAUCUAGGUGCUAAUCCUACAAUUAAAUGACCAUCAACUUAGUGUUUCGUCUUACAAGUUCUCUGACAUUGAUUGAGUUGGCCUAGAAAGAAGAUCACUCCAAGUCUGAGUGCACCUAUAAACAUUGAUUCAGUGGCCAAAAAUUUGUAGAAGCAGGUGCUCCAUGUGCUGUAGUCCGACAGAAGAUUCAAGCAUGUCUUCACUUGAUUAACAGGUACACAUUAUCAGCAAACAGUUGAAUCACAAGUUCACAACUGAGCUUUUGGAGAUCAUGAACCAAUAUUCUAUCGAAGGAAGAAACUCCAUUUGCUGCCAAGAAUCUAACCGUACAUAGAUUUAAUUAGUGGGAAUAAACUGACAGCCGGAGCACCCGCUUACAUGUCACAGAAAGUGGUGGUCUAAAUCUCAUCUCACUACAAUAGUGCAAAUUCAAAUUUUGAGGCCAGGCACGUGUUGUAUCAUCGACCAUAUAUUUACCUUUGGUUCUCUAACAUCAUCCUGCGAUUGUGUUUUGCGGAAUUGAAUUAUAGAAUUGGAUUUUCAGCUUUGGCUGAAUAUGCAGCCACUGCUGUAAAAUUCCAU